rnacentral:tRNA from 4 species
GGGAAGAUGGCCGAGCGGUCUAAGGCGCUGCGUUCAGGUCGCAGUCUAUGUUAUAGGCGUGGGUUCGAAUCCCACUCUUCUCA